rnacentral:rRNA from 1 species
UACGUAGGGGGCAAGCGUUGUCCGGAAUCAUUGGGCGUAAAGAGCGUGUAGGCGGCUCGGUAAGUCCGCUGUGAAAGUCCAGGGCUCAACCCUGGAAUGCCGGUGGAAACUGUCGAGCUAGAGGAUGGUAGAGGAGAGCGGAACUCUUGGUGGAGCGGUGAAAUGCGUAGAUAUCAAGAGGAACACCGGUGGCGAAGGCGGCUCUCUGGUCCAUUACUGACGCUGAGGUACGAAAGCUAGGGGAGCAAACGGG